CUCCACCCAUCACUGUUUGUCUGAAAAAAAACACCCAACCCUUGAUCCAGAUCCCCUCCUCUCUUCUCCCGAUUCACCCCUCGUCUCCCUCCCAUCCCACGCCGCCGCCGCCGCCCACCACCCCGGCGACCUCCCCACCGGCGAUCCCCAGCCUCUCCCUCUCCUUCUCCCCUGCAUCCGUCGCCCGCACCUUCCCUCCCAGUCCCAGAUCAACCCACGGGUGAGCCGGCGGCCAGGACACACGGCGGAUCUGGACAUGGACUUGGAGGUCAGCACGAAUCUAAGCUCGCCGGCGAGAUGAAUCCAUGCCCUGCGCCUGCCAGCGGAUCGUGUCGUGGCCUCCCCGAUUCGUUGCUCCGUCCGCAUCGGUCGGCUCCCCCGACGUCUCCGCGUCACCACGUGGAGAGGAACUGCGCGGUCUACGCCCCUCGCCUCCUGGGCGUUGCUCUCCGCCAGUGUUCAGUGAGCGGUGGAGUAGGCAUCCUCUCAGCCGGCUUCCACACGCUUCAGGCUUCAUCGUGCACAAAGUUAAUAAGUAAUGGUGGUUGCUGGCUUGCUGCAGACCGAUGGUGAGUAGUGAAACCACUGUUGUUCACUGACACAGUGACUCAGCCUGCAUCUAGGCCCCUUCAUCAAGAGUUCCAUCUCUCAUUAUCAUAAACAAGAGCCGGUGGCCAGGACACACGGCGGAGGUCGCCUGCGUCUCCCCAGUCGCCCUGCCACUGCUUCCUUCCUUUUCUCUGCGGCAGGAGAAGAAAGCCUUGUUGGGGUGCCCAAGCCAUGGAGCACCAUCGUCAAGUGCAGGAGAAGAAAACCCUAGACCGACCCGAGGAUUUGUCCGACAACCACCUGAGGAGGAAGUAAGCCAUGGACGGACCUCCCUUUCCUUGAAUGCUGCGCCCUCCCACCCAUCUUCCUGCAGCUGCAGGAAUUUGUGAGCUGGAGUUGCAAAAUUUGGAGUUCUCUUGACUUUGAACAUUGCAUUGGCCGCAAAGUGUAGAACGCAGAGGGGCAAUGGAUAAAAUCUACUCUGGAUAGUUGACAGAGGGAGUACAUGCUAAGUUGACUUUUUUCCUGCGGAUUUGCUUAUCGUGAAGAUGCUUGCAAGGAUGCAAAGGGAGUGGAUCAUUUGGAGAGAUAGGAUGCCACUGUUUGGUGUUUUUAUGCAUUUUGGUUUGCUUGUAACUGUGUUUGCACUAGCUGGGAGUAAGUGACUUCAAGAAGUGUAGGUGUUUUAAUUGAAGGCAUGAAAAGCCAUGACAAUAUGUAUGCUCUUACAUGAUGUGCUCUAAUGCUGCUGGUUUAUUAUAAAUCUUGGAUUAGUAAUGAUGUGUAAUGAUGUUGGUUUAUUGCAAAUAUGUGUUUGUUUUAGUUGGAAUUGUAUGCAUAGAAUGGAAUUGG